UAGUGCAGCGCUAGUGUUAGCGCUACUGUUAGCACGCUAGUGCAAGCGUUAAACCCUCUGUACCGUCUUUGUUUGUAAAUAUCUCGUUUUUCAAAGUGGGUUUCAAUGUGGUCACUUGCACAGCUGCGGCGUAUAGGCGUCGGAUGCUGGUCCACUGGCGCAAUGAGGAUCACCAGCUCGUGGUCGAUACUGAGAUCACAAUAUAAUCUGCGAAUAUCAUCAUCGUCCAAGGGGAUUCCAGUCUAACCUCAUCUGUCAGCCUAUCCAUUCCUACCGCAGACAGGAAGGGGUUCAGCGCGGAUCCCUGAUGCACUCCCACCUCCACUUUAAAUUCUUCCGACACACCUACGGCACAUCUCACCGCUGUUCUGCUGCCCUCAUACAUGUCCUGGACUAUUCUAGCA